rnacentral:tRNA from 1 species
GUCCCGCUGGCGCAAUGGUGAGAAUAUACCAAUCCAAUUCUCCCUUUUCUAUCACUAAUACCCAUCAAAAGGUAGCGCGUUAGACUUCUAAUCUAAAGGUUGUGGGUUCGAGUCCCACGCGGGAUG